UGAGAUUGAACGUGUUAGUCACUCAGUCGUGUCUGACUCUUUGCGAUUUCAUGGACUGUACUCACUGGACUCCUCUGUCAGUGGUGUUCUCCAGGCAAGGAUACUGGAGUGGGUUGCCAUGCCCUCCUUCAGGGGAUCUUCCUGACCCAGGGAGCAAAUCCACACCUGUCUCCCAUGCUUGUAGG